UACGAAGGGGGCUAGCGUUGCUCGGAAUCACUGGGCGUAAAGCGCACGUAGGCGGAUCUUUAAGUCAGAGGUGAAAUCCCAAGGCUCAACCUUGGAACUGCCUUUGAUACUGGGGAUCUCGAGUCCGGAAGAGGUGAGUGGAACUGCGAGUGUAGAGGUGAAAUUCGUAGAUAUUCGCAAGAACACCAGUGGCGAAGGCGGCUCACUGGUCCGGUACUAACGCUGAGGUGCGAAAGCGUGGGGAGCAAACAGG
rnacentral:rRNA from 1 species